rnacentral:rRNA from 1 species
CUACGGGCGGCAGCAGUAGGGAAUAUUGCACAAUGGGCGAAAGCCUGAUGCAGCAACGCCGCGUGCGCGAUGAAGGCCUUCGGGUUGUAAAGCGCUUUUCUGAGGGAAGAGGAAGGACUGUACCUCAGGAAUAAGUCUCGGCUAACUACGUGCCAGCAGCCGCGGUAACACGUAGGAGGCAAGCGUUAUCCGGAUUUACUGGGCGUAAAGCGCGUGUAGGCGGUUUGGCAAGUCGGAUGUGAAAGCUCCUGGCUCAACUGGGAGAGGUCGUUCGAAACUGCCAGACUAGAGGACGGUAGAGGAAGAUGGAAUUCCCGGUGUUGUAGUGAAAUGCGUAGAUAUCGGGAGGAACACCAGUGGCGAAGGCGGUCUUCUGGGCCGUUCCUGACGCUGAGACGCGAAAGCAUGGGUAGCGAACGGGAUUAGAUACCCUGGUAGUC